rnacentral:rRNA from 1 species
UACGUAGGGCGCGAGCGUUAAUCGGAAUUACUGGGCGUAAAGCGCGCGUAGGCGGACCUGCAAGUCGGGGGUGAAAGCCCGAGGCUCAACCUCGGAACUGCCUUCGAUACUGCGGGUCUCGAGUCCGGGAGAGGUGAGUGGAAUUCCUAGUGUAGAGGUGAAAUUCGUAGAUAUUAGGAAGAACACCAGUGGCGAAGGCGGCUCACUGGCCCGGUACUGACGCUGAGGCGCGAAAGCGUGGGGAGCAGACAGG